AUGAACGCUGGCGGCGUGCCUAAUACAUGCAAGUCGAGCGAACAGACGAGGAGCUUGCUCCUCUGACGUUAGCGGCGGACGGGUGAGUAACACGUGGAUAACCUACCUAUAAGAUUGGGAUAACUUCGGGAAACCGGAGCUAAUACCGGAUAAUAUAUUGAACCGCAUGGUUCAAUAGUGAAAGACGGUUUUGCUGUCACUUAUAGAUGGAUCCGCGCCGCAUUAGCUAGUUGGUAAGGUAACGGCUUACCAAGGCGACGAUGCGUAGCCGACCCGAGAGGGUGAUCGGCCACACUGGAACUGAGACACGGUCCAGACUCCUACGGGAGGCAGCAGUAGGGAAUCUUCCGCAAUGGGCGAAAGCCUGACGGAGCAACGCCGCGUGAGUGAUGAAGGUCUUCGGAUCGUAAAACUCUGUUAUUAGGGAAGAACAAAUGUGUAAGUAACUAUGCACGUCUUGACGGUACCUAAUCAGAAAGCCACGGCUAACUACGU
rnacentral:rRNA from 1 species